rnacentral:rRNA from 1 species
GCGGCGUGCCUAAUACAUGCAAGUCGAGCGGACCUCUUCGGAGGUCAGCGGCGGACGGGUGAGUAACACGUGGGCAACCUGCCUGUAAGACUGGGAUAACUCCGGGAAACCGGAGCUAAUACCGGAUAUUAUGUCAGACCGCAUGGUCUGACAUUCAAAGACGGUUUCGGCUGUCACUUACAGAUGGGCCCGCGGCGCAUUAGCUAGUUGGUGAGGUAACGGCUCACCAAGGCAACGAUGCGUAGCCGACCUGAGAGGGUGAUCGGCCACACUGGGACUGAGACACGGCCCAGACUCCUACGGGAGGCAGCAGUAGGGAAUCUUCCGCAAUGGACGAAAGUCUGACGGAGCAACGCCGCGUGAGUGAUGAAGGUUUUCGGAUCGUAAAACUCUGUUGUCAGGGAAGAACAAGUGCCGGAGUAACUGCCGGCGCCUUGACGGUACCUGACCAGAAAGCCACGGCUAACUACGUGCCAGCAGCCGCGGUAAUACGUAGGUGGCAAGCGUUGUCCGGAAUUAUUGGGCGUAAAGCGCGCGCAGGCGGUUUCUUAAGUCUGAUGUGAAAGCCCCCGGCUCAACCGGGGAGGGUCAUUGGAAACUGGGAAACUUGAGUGCAGAAGAGGAGAGUGGAAUUCCACGUGUAGCGGUGAAAUGCGUAGAGAUGUGGAGGAACACCAGUGGCGAAGGCGACUCUCUGGUCUGUAACUGACGCUGAGGCGCGAAAGCGUGGGGAGCGAACAGGAUUAGAUACCCUGGUAGUCCACGCCGUAAACGNNGAGUGCUAAGUGUUAGAGGGUUUCCGCCCUUUAGUGCUGCAGCUAACGCAUAA